AACGAACGCUGGCGGCAGCCUUAACACAUGCAAGUCGAACGCAUCCUUCGGGGUGAGUGGCAGACGGGUGAGUAACGCGUGGGAACGUGCCCUUCAGAUCGGGAUAACCCAGGGAAACUUGGGCUAAUACCGGAAACGUGCGAGAGCAGAAAGAUUUAUCGCUAAAGGAUCGGCCCGCGUCUGAUUAGCUAGUUGGUGGGGUAAUGGCCCACCAAGUGGACGAUCAGUAGCUGGUCUGAGAGGAUGAUCAGCCACAUUGGGAAGGAGACACGGCCCAAACUCCUACGGGAGGCAGCAGUGGGGAAUAUUGGAAAAUGGGGGCAAGCCUGAUCCAGCCAUGCCGCGUGAGUGAUGAAGGCCUUAGGGUUGUAAAGCUCUUUCGUCCGGGACGAUAAUGACGGUACCGGAAGAAGAAGCCCCGGCUAACUUCGUGCCAGCCGCCGCCGUAA
rnacentral:rRNA from 1 species